CCAAAUCUUAGAGAGAAUCACUGGUUAUGCACUGCUAGAACAACCGUGUUCUGCCCUUUCCCAGGUCCCUGUAUACGAACGCUUCUUGUUGUAGCACCAUUGUUGCAGCUGGAAGACAGUGCAUCUUAGGAAUUUUCAACUGUUUUAUAAAACAUUCUCCAAGACGUUACGUCUUCUUCAUGCAAACUUGACAACGACUAAUACGCGUCCUCAAGUCUCCAGCUUUCAGUGUCUCUGACUGAGGUUUACUGGUUGACAGACACAAAGGUGACGGAUGCUCAGUCUCGUCCAGUGUCUCAGUAUACACAAGAAUUAGUUGGUGCAGGAACAAAAUGCAAACAUGGAAUGGAAAGAUGAAAACGGCAUGAUGGUGCACUGAGUCCAUGGGAGCCACAU